GCCCGGGUGGUGAAAUUGGUAGACACAGGGGACUUAAAAUCCCCCGACCGUUGAGGUCGUGCCGGUUCAAGUCCGGCCCCGGGCACCA
rnacentral:tRNA from 1 species